rnacentral:rRNA from 1 species
UCAUGAUGAACGCUAGCUGCAGGCUUAACACAUGCAAGUCGAGGGGCAGCAUGGUCUUAGCUUGCUAAGGCCGAUGGCGACCGGCGCACGGGUGAGUAACACGUAUCCAACCUGCCGUCUACUCUUGGACAGCCUUCUGAAAGGAAGAUUAAUACAAGAUGGCAUCAUGAGUCCACAUGUUCACAUGAUUAAAGGUAUUCCGGUAGACGAUGGGGAUGCGUUCCAUUAGAUAGUAGGCGGGGUAACGGCCCACCUAGUCUUCGAUGGAUAGGGGUUCUGAGAGGAAGGUCCCCCACAUUGGAACUGAGACACGGUCCAAACUCCUACGGGAGGCAGCAGUGAGGAAUAUUGGUCAAUGGGCGAGAGCCUGAACCAGCCAAGUAGCGUGAAGGAUGACUGCCCUAUGGGUUGUAAACUUCUUUUAUAAAGGAAUAAAGUCGGGUAUGGAUACCCGUUUGCAUGUACUUUAUGAAUAAGGAUCGGCUAACUCCGUGCCAGCAGCCGCGGUAAUACGGAGGAUCCGAGCGUUAUCCGGAUUUAUUGGGUUUAAAGGGAGCGUAGAUGGAUGUUUAAGUCAGUUGUGAAAGUUUGCGGCUCAACCGUAAAAUUGCAGUUGAUACUGGAUAUCUUGAGUGCAGUUGAGGCAGGCGGAAUUCGUGGUGUAGCGGUGAAAUGCUUAGAUAUCACGAAGAACUCCGAUUGCGAAGGCAGCCUGCUAAGCUGCAACUGACAUUGAGGCUCGAAAGUGUGGGUAUCAAACAGGAUUAGAUACCCUGGUAGUCCACACGGUAAACGAUGAAUACUCGCUGUUUGCGAUAUACAGCAAGCGGCCAAGCGAAAGCGUUAAGUAUUCCACCUGGGGAGUACGCCGGCAACGGUGAAACUCAAAGGAAUUGACGGGGGCCCGCACAAGCGGAGGAACAUGUGGUUUAAUUCGAUGAUACGCGAGGAACCUUACCCGGGCUUAAAUUGCAGAUGAAUUACGGUGAAAGCCGUAAGCCGCAAGGCAUCUGUGAAGGUGCUGCAUGGUUGUCGUCAGCUCGUGCCGUGAGGUGUCGGCUUAAGUGCCAUAACGAGCGCAACCCUUGUUGUCAGUUACUAACAGGUUCCGCUGAGGACUCUGACAAGACUGCCAUCGUAAGAUGUGAGGAAGGUGGGGAUGACGUCAAAUCAGCACGGCCCUUACGUCCGGGGCUACACACGUGUUACAAUGGGGGGUACAGAGGGCCGCUACCACGCGAGUGGAUGCCAAUCCCAAAAACCUCUCUCAGUUCGGACUGGAGUCUGCAACCCGACUCCACGAAGCUGGAUUCGCUAGUAAUCGCGCAUCAGCCACGGCGCGGUGAAUACGUUCCCGGGCCUUGUACACACCGCCCGUCAAGCCAUGGGAGCCGGGGGUACCUGAAGUGCGUAACCGCGAGGAGCGCCCUAGGGUAAAACUGGU